CCUACGGGAGGCAGCAGUGAGGAAUAUUGGUCAAUGGACGAGAGUCUGAACCAGCCAAGUAGCGUGAAGGAUGACUGCCCUAUGGGUUGUAAACUUCUUUUAUAUGGGAAUAAAACGUUCCACGUGUGGGAUUUUGUAUGUACCAUAUGAAUAAGGAUCGGCUAACUCCGUGCCAGCAGCCGCGGUAAUACGGAGGGUCUGAGCGUUAUCGGGAAUUAUUGGGUUUAAAGGGAGCGUAGGUGGAUUGUUAAGUCAGUUGUGAAAGUUUGCGGCUCAACCGUAAAAUUGCAGUUGAAACUGGCAGUCUAGAGUACAGUAGAGGUGGGCGGAAUUCGUGGUGUAGCGGUGAAAUGCUGAGAGAUCACGAAGAACUCCGAUUGCGAAGGCGGUUCACUGGACUGCAACUGACGCUGAGGCUCGAAAGUGUGGGGAUCAAACAGGAUUAGAUACCCUAGUAGUC
rnacentral:rRNA from 1 species